GACGAACCGAGCGAACGUUGUUCGGAAUUACUGGGCGUAAAGCGCGCGCAGGCGGCCCUUUAAGUCCGUCGGUCAAAUGCCGGGGCUCAACCCCGAUGCAUGCCGAGGAUACUGGAGGGCUGGAGACACGUAGAGGCAAGCGGAAUUCCGGGUGUAGCGGUGGAAUGCGUAGAGAUCCGGAAGAACACCAGUGGCGAAGGCGGCAUCCUGGACCAAUAUUGACGCUGAGGAGCGAAAGCUAGGGGAGCAAACGGG
rnacentral:rRNA from 1 species